rnacentral:misc_RNA from 1 species
UGUGAAGGAAUGGCUUGAAUUUGCUUUCUCCACUGGUUCGCAGAAUGUUGCCAACGCUGGAUCGUCAAUGGAGGAUACAUGAAUUGGUAUAGCAGAGUUUGGCCAUACUAAUUUCUUGUUCACAUGAAUCAGUGGUUGCAUCCAAGCUUCACCACUACCCUUUUGGGCAUAAAUUACACAACCUUUGUCCCAAGACUCUGAUGUUGUAGUUGAUAAUUUGGAUAUGAUAGAAUGGUAGCGAGGACUGUAACACAGCCAUUCUUUCCUCAUUGGAUAAUUUGGACAUCCCAGAACCCCCAGCACCACUUCUCCAUCUUCGAUCAGUGCUAGAGCUACAGCAUAUUGAUCCCCACGUAUAAACCCCAACGUCCCAUCCACAGGGUCCAGGGUCCAAAAUCUUCCAGUUGGACCGCCAGAUGAGUUGCAUCGGCUGAUGGCUUCAAGAACCUCGGAAGUACAGAGGGUGCUUUCUGGACCUUCCAAUCCAAAACGAUAUGCUUCACAAAGACACUCAUUUACAGUUUCCACUACAGCUUUCAAGAGUCGGUCUGCACCAGGCUUGGAAAGAGUCUGAACAUCCUCCUCGGCAACAAUUGACACAUUUUUACUCCCAAAAGAUUUGGACAGAAUCCAGCUGAUAAUUGCCUGAACGCUCCAAUCCGCAACAGUAACAGGGGAAUUGUCAUCCUUGGCUUGAAUUUGGGCAUUGCUAGUAAGCAAGUUGCUCUGAACUCUCUGACAAAGAAAGCAAGCCAUCUGAACAGCUCCAACGGCGACUUUGAGUUCUUGGGAAAGUGAUUUCGGCCCAG